rnacentral:rRNA from 1 species
AUGGUUUUCGAAGACGAAAGCAGUGAGGACACGUCCAGCCUGCCGUACAUGCACUCGACCUCAUCCACGGACGGGCUUAACCAGGUCCCUUUCAGCGUUGAAGAUCCAGAUUACCAGGAGCUUGAGCUGGAAACGAUGUCACCAUGUGAGAAGCACGGCAAGGCAUCUGAGAGGCUUGUCGCAUUUGAAGGAACAGACACAGGGAGAAGGUUCUUAGCAUGUGCAGAGCCGGAAGGGCAGAAUUGUGGGUUUGUUGAAUGGGUUGAUCACCAGUGGCCCCCAACAAUGCAAAAUGCAUUGUUGAAGCUGUGGGCAAUGGUUGAAGAUAGAAAGAGUGCUAGGGUGAAUGAUAAUCUUGAAAGUUCUUUCACUAUCCACCAUCUGACAGAAGAGAAGAACAAGCUGGAGGCCAACUAUGACAAGUUAGUCCAAGAUAUGCAUGAGCUUAUGAGCUUCCAGGAGGAGAGGGUGGUGGAUUUCAGAUAUCUACAGUCUAGCAUUACAUAUCAGCAACAAUGCAUAAGUGAACUGGUGGCUGAUAUGAAGGCACAAAUGGCAAAGAAAGAUGCAGAGUCUGAGAAGCUUAAUCAUAAGUAUGAAGUGCUACUGAACCUGACAAGAGCUCAAGCAACAAUCAUCCAGAACUUGAAGUUGAAGAAUAUUACAGACAUGCAAUUGCUUAGUGAAGCUAAGAUGAACUUGGAGUUGAAGAAUGUAGAGCUCACAAAGUCUGAGGAGAAGCUCACCCAAGAUAAGCUAGAGUUGAAGUUUCAGGUUGCUGAUUUGCUUAAGGGAAAGGAAAAGCAUGGUGAAGAGAAGGGGCAGCUAGAGCUUUAG